rnacentral:tRNA from 1 species
GUCAGGAUGGCCAAGUGGUCUAAGGCGCCAGACUCAAGAGUGCAGCUCUUCCCCAGGCUUGGGAUUUCUGCUCUCCAGAUGGAGGCGUGGGUUCAAAUCCCACUUCUGACA